rnacentral:rRNA from 1 species
GUUCGCAAGAUUGUGUUAGUGGCAGACGAGUUAGUAACACGUAGGAACCUCCCCCCAAGUCAGGAAUAACGAGUCGAAAGAUUCGCUUAAUACCUGAUAGUCUCUCUGGAGUAAAGUCGUAAGACGCUUGGGAAAGGGCCUGCGGGCUAUCAGCUAGUUGGUAGGGUAAUGGCCUACCAAGGCGAUGACGGCUAGGGGAGCUGAGAGGCUGAUCCCCAACGAUGGGACUGAGACACGGCCCAUACACCUACGGGUGGCUGCAGUCAAGAACCUUCCGCAAUGGACGAAAGUCUGACGGAGCGACGCCGCGUGAUGGAUGAAGUUCCUCUGGAACGUAAACAUCUUUUGUCGAGGAGAAAGUAAUUGAUAGUACUCGAAG